rnacentral:rRNA from 1 species
UACGUAGGGGGCAAGCGUUGGUCCGGAAUCAUUGGGCGUAAAGAGCGUGUAGGCGGCCCGGUAAGUCCGCUGUGAAAGUCCAGGGCUCAACCCUGGGAUGCCGGUGGAUACUGUCGGGCUCGAGUCCGGAAGAGGAGUGUGGAAUUCCUGGUGUAGCGGUGAAAUGCGCAGAUAUCAGGAGGAACACCGGUGGCGAAGGCGGACACAUCGUGGCCCGAGUACUGACGC